rnacentral:rRNA from 1 species
UGCAGUAGAACGCUGAAGAGAGGAGCUUGCUCUUCUUGGAUGAGUUGCGAACGGGUGAGUAACGCGUAGGUAACCUGCCUUGUAGCGGGGGAUAACUAUUGGAAACGAUAGCUAAUACCGCAUAACAAUGGAUGACACAUGUCAUUUAUUUGAAAGGGGCAAUUGCUCCACUACAAGAUGGACCUGCGUUGUAUUAGCUAGUAGGUGAGGUAAUGGCUCACCUAGGCGACGAUACAUAGCCGACCUGAGAGGGUGAUCGGCCACACUGGGACUGAGACACGGCCCAGACUCCUACGGGAGGCAGCAGUAGGGAAUCUUCGGCAAUGGGGGCAACCCUGACCGAGCAACGCCGCGUGAGUGAAGAAGGUUUUCGGAUCGUAAAGCUCUGUUGUAAGUCAAGAACGGGUGUGAGAGUGGAAAGUUCACACUGUGACGGUAGCUUACCAGAAAGGGACGGCUAACUACGUGCCAGCAGCCGCGGUAAUACGUAGGUCCCGAGCGUUGUCCGGAUUUAUUGGGCGUAAAGCGAGCGCAGGCGGUUUGAUAAGUCUGAAGUUAAAGGCUGUGGCUCAACCAUAGUUCGCUUUGGAAACUGUCAAACUUGAGUGCAGAAGGGGAGAGUGGAAUUCCAUGUGUAGCGGUGAAAUGCGUAGAUAUAUGGAGGAACACCGGUGGCGAAAGCGGCUCUCUGGUCUGUAACUGACGCUGAGGCUCGAAAGCGUGGGGAGCGAACAGGAUUAGAUACCCUGGUAGUCCACGCCGUAAACGAUGAGUGCUAGGUGUUGGAUCCUUUCCGGGAUUCAGUGCCGCAGCUAACGCAUUAAGCACUCCGCCUGGGGAGUACGACCGCAAGGUUGAAACUCAAAGGAAUUGACGGGGGCCCGCACAAGCGGUGGAGCAUGUGGUUUAAUUCGAAGCAACGCGAAGAACCUUACCAGGUCUUGACAUCCCGAUGCUAUUUCUAGAGAUAGAAAGUUACUUCGGUACAUCGGUGACAGGUGGUGCAUGGUUGUCGUCAGCUCGUGUCGUGAGAUGUUGGGUUAAGUCCCGCAACGAGCGCAACCCCUAUUGUUAGUUGCCAUCAUUCAGUUGGGCACUCUAGCGAGACUGCCGGUAAUAAACCGGAGGAAGGUGGGGAUGACGUCAAAUCAUCAUGCCCCUUAUGACCUGGGCUACACACGUGCUACAAUGGUUGGUACAACGAGUUGCGAGUCGGUGACGGCGAGCUAAUCUCUUAAAGCCAAUCUCAGUUCGGAUUGUAGGCUGCAACUCGCCUACAUGAAGUCGGAAUCGCUAGUAAUCGCGGAUCAGCACGCCGCGGUGAAUACGUUCCCGGGCCUUGUACACACCGCCCGUCACACCACGAGAGUUUGUAACACCCGAAGUCGGUGAGGUAACCU